rnacentral:lncRNA from 10 species
GGUUUUCCCAAAGAAUAAACUCAGAGGCAAGCCCUUCAGGGGAACGCUUGAUGUGUUAUGGUGAAUCUGAAACUUUUGUCCUCUAAAGAGCCUUUUUUUUUUUUUUUUUUUUUAGAGACAAGGUCUCACUGUCACCCAGACUGUAGUGCAGUGGCACAAUCACAGUUCACUGCAGCCUCGACCUCUCAGGCUCAAGCCAUCCUCCCACCUCAGCCUCCCUAGUAGCUGGGACCACAGGUGCAUAGCCCGAUGCCUAGACAAUUUUUUAUAUUUUUGUAAAGACAGGGUCUCGCUAUGUUGCCCAGGCUGGUCUCAAACUCCUGGGCUCAAGUCAUCCUCCCGCCCCUGCCUCCCAAAGUGCUAGGAUUACAGGCAUGAGCCACCAUGCCCAGCCAGGAGGGCUUCUUUUAAAAGCGAUAAUAGCUACUUCAGAGAACAAGCCCCCACUACAAAUUCAUUUUCCAGAUUCUAUAAGCUUCCUGUUGAGUGGCAAGAACAAAUAUUUCAGGGAGAAUUCUAAGGUAUAGUAUCAGUCGAAUGUCUGUCAGUUUAAAAUGGGGACUUACGGUCAUUUAAAAGAUAAACUAGCAUGAGGAUGGCUUGAGACCGGGGGAGCAGAGGUUGCAGUGAGCCGAGAUCACGCCACUGCACUCCAGCCUGGGAGACAAAGUGAGGGUCCAUCUCAAAAAAUAAAUUAAAUAAAUCAAUAAAAAGUAAAAGAUAAACUACUAUGAGCAGAGUGUCUUUUUUUCUACCCUGCUUUCAGUACUUGCUAGGAGUAAGGUGAUGAAGAUCCCUUUCUUGCUCAGUUAAUGUGACAGCAGUCAUGCCUGCUGACAUAACCGCGGAAUGCCAAAUGACCUAUUCAUUCAUUUCAUUCCUUGCACUAGAACAUCAGAGCAGAGAAUCCACAAAUGCACCCACAUAUCCAAAGCUGAUGGCAUUUUGGCCUCUUUCUGCCCCCAUUACUGUGAAAAGAUUUCUCCAAGGGAACCUGAAAGUAAUCUUUGUGGGUUGCAGCAAACGUACACACCCUUUUGGAAUUUUAUCAGGCAAUCUUAGCACAGGGCAGCUCAAACAAAGCAGGGCCCCACAGCGUCAGUGGCCUUCACUUAAGCACUAGAGGAACACAAUACCAGCCUGUAACCGUCUCCUUACAGGUGGGUGUUGGCUCAUUUUAAGCAGAUGGUGGAUUUAUGAUUCUAAUGUGCCGUAUAUUGCUCAAUGGACAAAUAUUUGCACUGGACCAGAAUAAAUAAAAAAAAAUUCUUCAGCUUAGCUUCCAAAGAAUAUCAGAAGUUUUAGGACACCUCAGCAUUUGAACAUUAUAGGAAAACUUGAAAGGGCUGCACCACUGCCGAGCUAUGGGACAGAUGGAUUUCAACAGAGUGAUGACAUUAUGGGAAGCACAUUAACCUUCUCCAAAGCAGCAACAAAAGAAAAGCAAGAUUCAAUCACUGGAAUGAAAAACUAUUUCACAAAUUCAGUGAAUGUUUUAAGUCCUCUAAAAUUUGGCAUUUUGACUUUUGGAAUUAAUGAGUAGGAAAAUUUAUUUAAAAUGAAUAUUCCCCCAAAAAGAGAAGCCAUUUGAACCCUAAACUCUCUCAUCCAACAGAGCUAGCAAAUUAGAUUUAAGAAGAAAGAUAAUUUGAUUCCUCUGAGUUUCUCUACAAGGAAACAUCAAUCAGAGUGAAAGAAGAAUACACACUUUCCAAGGAACUUCUUGCAUUUCCCUCCAGGAGGAAAGUCCAGAGAAAUAAUUGGGUCUUUUAAUCCUCCGAGAAUGGUCUCCAAUGGCUGGCACUAGGACCAAAAAUCUCAGCAACCACGGGGAGAUGGCAGUGUGGUAAGACAUGGGGGAAGGUGGAAUAAAAGAGAAACAAAAGAGAUGGGUAUCUGCAAGAGAUGUGGGAAAAAUAUUAGGGACAAACAGACACACACGUGUAUACACACACAUUCAUUGUUCCCCUCUCCCCUCUCUCUUCUACAAAUUUGAGAGAAUUAAAGGAGAAAAGGAAAGACACUUAAGAGAAAUGAGGCUAUGAACUAUGGCAUAGAUCUCCAUUAAUGUUCUUUGAGAACUGCAAGUAAAUAUGGGAAUAUUUUCAAUUCUUUUUAUUGGAUAGAGCCUUAUAGUGCCUGAGAGUUAGUUGAAUUAGAAUCAUUACUUUGGUAAAAUGUUCUGCUUACUUUAUUUAUUUAUUUAUUUAUUUAUUUAUUUAUUUAUUUUUCUCUGAAAUAUAUGGACAUAUAAAUGACAUUCUGCUUAAUUAUGAUUCAUCAUUCAUGAAAUAUUAUCUUCAAAGCAUAGAUAUUAGAACAUAUCUGUCUUAAAUAUAAAACAUGAUUAAAUUAUUCUUUGAUUAUAUACAUAUCUUUCACUCCCUACUCAAACUCUCAUCAGGAUUCCACAGUGUUAAUACCCCUCUUGAAACAAUUCCUCUUUUUGUUACUGUAACUCUCCAUCCUCCAUUUCCCAA